rnacentral:misc_RNA from 1 species
UCGAGAACCGGCGCCCUCGUGGUUGCCGACCCUCAAACCACCGUGUACCAAACUUUAACGUUGCCUCGGCGGGCCGGGCCCUCUUCUGGGGGGCCCCCCAACCAACGGGAGCCGCUCGCCGCAGGACCACACAAGACUGUUUUCGUACGACGAACGUCUGAUAUCUUUCUUCGCGAAUGCGAUAAAGUA